UACAGAGGUCCCAAGCGUUGUUCGGAUUCACUGGGCGUAAAGGGUGCGUAGGCGGUCGGGUAAGUCUGAUGUGAAAUCUCACAGCUUAACUGUGAAACUGCAUUGGAUACUAUCCGGCUCGAGGAAUGGAGGGGAGACCGGAAUACUUGGUGUAGCAGUGAAAUGCGUAGAUAUCGGAAGGAACACCAGUGGCGAAAGCGGCUUCCUGGUCCGACACCGACGUUCAGGCACGAAAGCGUGGGGAGCAAACAGG
rnacentral:rRNA from 1 species